rnacentral:rRNA from 1 species
UAGUCACAUGCUUGUCUCAAAGAUUAAGCCAUGCAUGUCUAAGUAUAAGCAAUCUAUACGGUGAAACUGCGAAUGGCUCAUUAAAUCAGUUAUCGUUUAUUUGAUAGUACCUUACUACUUGGAUAACCGUGGUAAUUCUAGAGCUAAUACAUGCUAAAAACCCCGACUUCGGAAGGGGUGUAUUUAUUAAAUAAAAAACCAAUGCCCUUCGGGGCUCCUUGGUGAUUCAUAAUAACUUAACGAAUCGCAUGGCCUUGUGCCGGCGAUGGUUCAUUCAAAUUUCUGCCCUAUCAACUUUCGAUUGUAAGGUAGUGGCUUACAAUGGUUUCAACGGGUAACGGGGAAUUAGGGUUCUAUUCCGGAAAGGGAGCCUGAAAAACGGCUACCACAUCCAAGGAAGGCAGCAGGCGCGCAAAUUACCCAAUCCCGACACGGGGAGGUAGUGACAAUAAAUACUGAUACAGGGCUCUUUUGGGUCUUGUAAUUGGAAUGGGUACAAUUUAAAUCCCUUAACGAGGAACAAUU